AAGCACAAAACAGAAAGCUCCCUCCUAACAUGGAAAUCUGCUCAACACGAAAGAGUGUGCCGGGUAUGUUUGGUGGCUACAGGUGAACUCUGGGCCUGCUUACAGGCCACCACACACACACUCAGAGAGUGUGGAGGGUGUGCAUGGUGACUGGCGGGGCUUGCAGGCCUCACCACACACACGCUCUCCAAGAGUGUGGCAGGGCAUGUGUGGUGGCUGGCAAGGUGUGCAGGAAGGCCUCGAGUACGCCUGUAGCUGAACACCUUACUCCAGAGGAGCAACAGCAGGUGCCAGCAGGAUAUUGACACAUGACAAGAUGUAGCUGAUACAGUUCUUUCUUCAUAUGAAAAAAACUGACAAGAAAAAAAAAUCCCUCUGCUUUGAAUGCAGUUUCCAAAACAAAUGAUUCUUAAACAGUCAAGAAUCUGUUGUGGGUUUGCCCAUCUCACAUAUUGUCUCUAACAGUGAGCAUUUUUUUUGUCUCAUCCAUAAACUUUAAAUAGAAAUUAGAUGUGUAUGGGGGGGGGGGGAGGGGGUUGAGAGAGAAAAGAUUCAUUUGGAAAGAUGGCUAAACUCAAAAAGUACCAGGGAUAAAAAAAUCACUUUCAGAUGAGCUCGUAGUCCAAGAAAGAAAUGUGCAACCUACCCUGUUCCCCCCAAAAUAAGACAGGGUCUUAAAUUAUUUUUUUUGCUCCAAAAGAUGUGUUGGGGCUUGUUUUCAUGGGCAGUCUUAUUUUUCCAAAUUGACUUUUUAAAUGAACUGUAUAUAGGACUUAUUUUUGAAAUAGGGCUUAUAUUUUGAGUAUCUUCAAAAAUGCUGAAAAAUCAUGAUAGGUCUUAUUUUCAGGAUAGGUCUUAUUUUAUGGGAAACAGGGAAUGAAUGUGAUAAUGUGGGCUAAUACAAUAACAGCAGACUGUCUGGUUCUUACACAUGCCAUACCACCUGAUCGUGAAAGGUACUCUGUAUGGAGUACUAUUUCAACAGUCUGGUGAUUAUCUGAACCAACACUAUCAGUUUUACAUUUCAGUUAUAUUAGUUCUCAAACACAUUUACUGGUGAACACCAUUGUGCUCAAUAUCAUUUCCAGUGAUAUGAUGUUGUUUAUGGCCACUAUUUUGGCCAUUUUUAAGUAGCCUCCCCCCCAUUUUGGGUAAGUUUGGUGGGGAGGAAGAAUAGGAAAGAAUGGGGGGGGGGAAUGGUUGCUCUUAUGGUCAUUUUGGUGUGAUUUCGGGGCAAAAAAUGAUCCCCAAAUCAGCCUGAUUUUUGUAAAUCAGGGGAGGGUAUGAGAGAUUUGAGGGUCUUAUUUUGGUCACACUUUUCCCCUCCUGUCAGAGCUGCAGAAUGUUCUGAUAGUCAAUAGUCUUCAAAGCAUAUACAGUAAUAGAGUUUUCUGUUUUUCAUACUAAAGACAGGACACACAUUUUGGCUUCAGGAGUACGCGCAGAACUGAUUGACUUGCAGUAACUACAUCUCCUGAUGGAUAGACUCAAAUGGAUAAAAAUUGUAGCCUGGGGUAUCAUUGGGAGUUAUAAUUAUUUCCCAUAUUAAUAAUUAACAGUGAUAAUUAUGUUCCACAUUAACAAUUUUCCCAAGUGGUAAAGCUGGCAGAAAUUAUGUUUGCUUUACAAAAAAGCAACAGGUAAUCAGAAAAAUUAUUGUUGGUUCUUGUAUGUCCUUAAGAGCACUCUCCCUCGUGCACACAAAGAUCUGUUUUCUCUUCCUUUACCCUGCCCCUGUCCAUCUUCUUUGUUAAUUAUUUCCAUAUUAGUAUGAAAAGCAACACAGCUUUCAGGGAUAUAAUGAUCUGGACAAUAUGUACCAAGACCAGAUGGAACAACCAAAUUAUAGUCCAAGUGGACUCCUCCAUCUCAUUGUUAUUUUCCACCAGUGAACAUUUCAUGUGUGUGAGCAGGUGUUGAAAGGUUUAGCUAGAAAGAGGGUCAGUUGCUAUUUGCAACACAAUAUAAUCCCCCUCUUGUGGGUGUUUCGUGUAUAUGGUCUCCUGUGUGAUGUUAUGGGGGAGGGAGGAGUGCUUUUGCAAUUUAUUUAUUCAAAUCUCCCAGGAAAUGAAGCAGUAUUCAUCUUUCUACUGGAGUUAAUAGUGGGAGCUCAUCCCGCUCUCUGGAUUCAAACUGCUGACCUUUUGGUCAGCAAGUUCAUCAGCUCAGCAGUUUAACCCACUGUGCCACUGCGGGCUCCUGUUGAUUAGUAUGUGGAUGAAAUUACAAGGAUUAUUAGUAUAAGUUGAGUAUCCCUUAUCGGGAAUUCUAAAUCCAAAAUACUCUGAAAUCCACAUGGAUAGCUAAGAGGAUAGCACAUUUGCUUUCUGAUGGUGCUAUGUACGCAAAACUGCGUUGUGUUUACAGCUAAAUCAAGGCCCUAUGUAUAAAGUGAAUAUAAAACCUAAAUAAAUGUAAUAUUUAGAGCUAGGUUCCUUCUCCCAGAUAUUUCAUUAUGUAGGCAUUCCGAAAUCAGUUAGGAUGGUGUGUGUGUGUGUGUGUGGGGGGGGGGGGGAUCUAAAAUUCAGAAAACU
ensembl:lncRNA